UACGUAGGGUGCAAGCGUUAAUCGGAAUUACUGGGCGUAAAGCGUGCGCAGGCGGUUAUGCAAGACCGAUGUGAAAUCCCCGGGCUCAACCUGGGAACUGCAUUUGUGACUGCAUGGCUAGAGUACGGUAGAGGGGGAUGGAAUUCCGCGUGUAGCAGUGAAAUGCGUAGAUAUGCGGAGGAACACCGAUGGCGAAGGCAAUCCCCUGGACCUGUACAGACGCUCAUGCACGAAAGCGUGGGGAGCAAACAGG
rnacentral:rRNA from 1 species